GAUGAACGCUAGCGACAGGCCUAACACAUGCAAGUCGAGGGGCAGCGGGGAGCUGAGCUUGCUCAGCUCUGCCGGCGACCGGCGCACGGGUGAGUAACGCGUAUGCAACCUGCCCUUUCCAGGGGGAUAACCCGGAGAAAUCCGGACUAAUAUCCCAUGGUUCCUGCUGGAGGCAUCUCCGACAGGAUAAAGGACUUGACCGGGAAAGGAUGGGCAUGCGUGACAUUAGCUAGACGGCGGGGCAACGGCCCACCGUGGCGACGAUGCCUAGGGGUUCUGAGAGGAAGACCCCCCACACUGGGACUGAGACACGGCCCAG
rnacentral:rRNA from 1 species